CGCUCUUUCUGACGCUACCCACCCUCACUCUAGUGGCGUAAAAUAAGUCUCAGUCAGGGACCACGUUUUGGACGCGCUGUUGGAAUUGUAAAGCUUGCCGAAGCUGCACGCCUGCGCGGUUAGACCUCCCACGCCUUUGUUGACGCUUCCAGUUUGGAAGCCAGAUUUACACCCCUGCCUUUCUCCGCUCCUCCUGCUGGGCGCCAUCUUGUCUUCUCCUAGCACACUUUGUAUUGUUCGAAGUUGAGAGAGAAGGAGCCGGAGUCUCCGAGGUGGCGUUGGGUGGGGGCGCUACUAGCUCCCGUUCUCUCAGCGUCUCUAGAGGGAAGGGCGCCGGUGGGAGCAGGAGAGUCUGCACCGGGCAGGCCUCCUUAGGUGCCGGGUUGCGCGCAGGGCCCUGUGCUUGUCUCGCCUCCGGUUGGCUCAGGCCUCGGAGCAUGAGUGCGCCGGCAACUGCUGGGCCCGGGACAGUGAAGCAGAGGAGGAGGUGGGGGAGGCGAGCCCAGGUCGGGGAAGGGCAGCACCUGAAUCACCCUUGGGGCCCAGACCCCCAAGAGUCUCCGGGGAGCCGAGGCCUGGCGAGGCAGUCCCGGGAUUCGCCCCCUCCCCGCUGGCCCGAGGGCGCACCACGUGCUGGGCAGAGACUUCGGCGAGGCCGAGUGGACCCUGCAGCGCUGCUUGGGAAAGGGCACCUUGGACUACCUGGUGGGGGCGUUGUGCUUCGUUACCGACCGCCGGGACGCCAACCCACGGUGCCCACCCGUGCGUCAUUCCGCUGUGGAUCAGCCCUUUGGCGGCCCCCCUCCAAAGUCUACAAGGUCACACGGAUGUCUGCAGGCAGAGGUGGGGCUGCUGGGGCCCUGCCAGGUGAGGGCUGCCCUUGUGGGGCAGUCUCUGGGCCUUGGAGGCCGGAAGCCUCCUGGGGCUCCUACGGCUGGGGGGUGCUGCUCAUCCUGGCUCCCAGGGAUUGCGCCGUAGCCAGCUGUAAUGGGUGGGACUGGCGCUCACUGCUGGUGCAGGCUGUGGCCAUCUGGGAGGUCCUUUCUGGAAUCUGGACCUUGGCUGUCCUGAGAGUGACACUCCUCAUCUCAAGUACUGGGGGCAUGAAGUUAGGCUUGGCAGGUGGCCCCGUGUGGGGGGCAUGCUGUUCCCAGGAGCCCCCAGUGGAGGUCAGAGUACCCACUGCUCCUUCUUGAUUCAACCCCUUGUAGGUGGGAUAGGAGCAUGCCAGGUGCUGCGAGGGUUUAAUCGGGCUCUUCUGCUGGCCUUGAAUAUGGUGGACAGGACAGGACAUUCUCAUUGCUCAGGAGCCACUGGCGCUGCCUUUGGGAAUGAAGUUCCACAGCCCCCCACUCAUUGCUUUGGCUGUCUGCUGCAUUUGAAACUGUACGAGGGUCAGGAAGAAGGCUGCGGGGAUGAAUGGCUCUACCGGCUUGCCACGGAUGGGGAACUGGAGCAGCCAGUGGCCCCAAGAGGAGGAAGGAAGGGAGGCACGGCAGACCCAACACCAGCUGUGCCAGGCUUUGGGGGGUGAACCCAUGAGGCAUCGUCACACACUGACAUUUUCAUCCCUCCUCAGCAGCUGCUUCCGGCUCCCUGAGACCCAGCCAUGGAAGGCAUAGAAAGGCAUGUGACAAGAAACUCAUGGCUUUUAAUCCUGGCAGGACAAGGAAAACCCCGUCAAAGAUUUGCAUAAAUUUUGCUGCUCUCCUGCUGGGGGGGGGGGGGGGGCAGUUCGUCACAUUUAAUAAAAUUCUCUCCCUCCCUUCUCCCGA
ensembl:lncRNA MPDU1-AS1 MPDU1 antisense RNA 1